ACAUAUGGCAAUGACCAGUAAACUCAUGUUAACCAAUCGAUCUCACAACUGUUAAUUUAGCACUAAUUUUGCUUUAAAAAUUGAUCUUUUAAUUGUUGAUAAGUACAUUAAUUGAUAUUUUGAAUGUUGACUGUUAUUAAAGAUGAUGAGCAAGACCUCAAUUGGUUCCAGGUCACAAUUUAGUCCAAAAUUUGUAAGCCUUUCAAGUUGCUGUUGGAAAUAUGCUACGUAAUAGAUAUACUUUGGGUGAAACGUUAAAUAAUACCAUCAUCAUCAGCGUAAUUAUUGUUGAAUCAAGGUUGACCCUGUCUCACAAUUUGGUUAAAUUGUUGUCAUUUUGAUACUGGACACUUUAUUAAUAUUAACAACUUCACAACUCCAUCAUUUCAUGCUGUUGAACACUAAAUCAAAAUCAUCUCUUUUUUAUCAAUAGAUAUAAAAAACGAAUGGAAAAUGGUUGAAUCAAUGGUUUAAUUGGCGAUUGGCUAUGCUUUCAUGAUAAUUGAAUAUCCAAAUAUAAUAACGAUUUUAAGGGUUACGUUAUAAUUGUGGUUUACUAAUUCCAUUAUUGUUGAUGGUGAGUGGAAACAUGCCAUUAUAUCGACUACCAAUCUUGAAUUGUGUGAACCUUUGUACUUUAUAACAGUCCAUAUGAUUAACUAACCAUCCUAUUCAAUGUUAUUCAAUAUUAGCUAAUCAAUUUGUGUUGACCAAUAUCAGCUGAAUGGGUGAUGAUAGUGUUGAAAUAGUUAGUUGUUAACAGCAAUUUUAUAAGUAAACAUGAAAUGCUUAUUACAAUUGAUCAGAAAAAGGUUUUAUAAUGGAUGUUAACACAUGUGUUUUCAUGUGUUCACCAAUUCAUUUAUCACUAAAAUGGUCUCAAUCUAUUGUACUAUUUGCAUUUGUUUCCAGAUUUUCAAUGUCAGUUCAACCAAUUACAGAUGAUAUUCAAGGUCAAAUGAUUGUUAAUCAACUUAAUUCAGGUCACAAAUAUCUUUGGAAACAAUUAAUAGAAAUCAGAUUGAAUGGAAGACGAUUUACAACCAAUCCGUUCACCAAAGCUUAUUGUUGAGUCCUGUUGAUUUUUGUUGGUAUUUCAAGUGUUGCUUUCAUCUGUAAAAAUGAAUUAAAUUGAAGUUAAAUAUAUCGAUAACAUUUAAAAUGAAUUAUGAAGGAAAAGGUGCAAAAAUUUUACGAUUACAAGGAUAAUUAAAUAACAUUUUCAUGGGAAAACUGUAAAUUAUUAUUAAAUAUAAUUCUGGUGUUUCCUUUAAAA